AGACCCGAAACCCGGUGAUCUAGCCAUGGGCAGGUUGAAGGUUGGGUAACACUAACUGGAGGACCGAACCGACUAAUGUUGAAAAAUUAGCGGAUGACCUGUGGCUGGGGGUGAAAGGCCAAUCAAACCGGGAGAUAGCUGGUUCUCCCCGAAAGCUAUUUAGGUAGCGCCUCGUGAAUUCAUCUCCGGGGGUAGAGCACUGUUUCGGCUAGGGGGCCAUCCCGGCUUACCAACCCGAUGCAAACUGCGAAUACCGGAGAAUGUUAUCACGGGAGACACACGGCGGGUGCUAACGUCCGUCGUGAAGAGGGAAACAACCCAGACCGCCAGCUAAGGUCCCAAAGUCAUGGUUAAGUGGGAAACGAUGUGGGAAGGCCCAGACAGCCAGGAUGUUGGCUUAGAAGCAGCCAUCAUUUAAAGAAAGCGUAAUAGCUCACUGGUCGAGUCGGCCUGCGCGGAAGAUGUAACGGGGCUAAACCAUGCACCGAAGCUGCGGCAGCGACACUCAGGUGUUGUUGGGUAGGGGAGCGUUCUGUAAGCCUGCGAAGGUGGCCUGUGAGGGUUGCUGGAGGUAUCAGAAGUGCGAAUGCUGACAUAAGUAACGAUAAAGCGGGUGAAAAGCCCGCUCGCCGGAAGACCAAGGGUUC
rnacentral:rRNA from 2 species